rnacentral:tRNA from 1 species
AGAAACAUAGUUUAAUUUUUAAAAUAGUGGAUUUUUAUUCCAAAGAUGCAAGUGAGAAUCUUGCUGUUUCUG